UGAGGAAUAUUGGUCAAUGGGCGCAAGCCUGAACCAGCCAUCCCGCGUGCAGGAAGACGGCCCUAUGGGUUGUAAACUGCUUUUCCAGGGAGAGAAACCUGCGCACGUGUUGCGCAAUUGACGGUACCCUGGGAAUAAGCAUCGGCUAACUCCGUGCCAGCAGCCGCGGUAAUACGGAGGAUUCAAGCGUUAUCCUGAUUCAUUGGGUUUAAAUGGUGCGUAGGCGGACUAUUAAGUCAGUUGUGAAAGCAUGCAGCUUAACUUCAGAACUGACAUUGAUACUGAUAGUCUUGAGUAUGGUUAAGGUAGGCGGAAUGUGUAAUGUAGCGGUGAAAUGCUUAGAUAUUACACAGAACACCAAUUGCGUAGGCAGCUUACUGAGCCGACACUGACGCUGAGGCACGAAAG
rnacentral:rRNA from 1 species